rnacentral:rRNA from 1 species
AUUGAACGCUGGCGGCAGGCCUAACACAUGCAAGUCGAACGGCAGCACGGAACUUGCUCCCUGUUUCCGAGGGGGACGGGCGAGUGAUGUCUAGGAACAUGCGUGGUUGUGUGGGGGAACGGCCGGAAAAAGGCGCACUUACCCCAUAACCGCUGAGGGCCUACGUGGGGGAUCAUCGGACCUCCCGCUCUUACGUGAUCCUAGGUCGGAUUAGCUAGUUGGUGGGGUAAAGGCCUACCAAGGCGACGAUCCGUAGCUGGUCUGAGAGGAUGAUCAGUCACACUGGAACUGAGACACGGUCCAGACUCCUACGGGAGGCAGCAGUGGGGAAUAUUGGACAAUGGGCGAAAGCCUGAUCCAGCCAUGCCGCGUGUGUGAAGAAGGCCUUCGGAUUGUAAAGCACUUUUGGUUGGAAAGAAAAGCAGUAAGUUAAUACCUUGCUGUUUUGACGGUACCAAAAGAAUAAGCACCGGCUAACUUCGUG